CUUAAAUAGCUUAUUUAGAGCAUGAUUUUGAAGAAAUCAAGGAAAUAUAAUAUUUUUAAGUA
rnacentral:tRNA from 1 species